rnacentral:rRNA from 1 species
UUCUUUCUCCACGUUGCCAUUUUGGCGAAGUGGUACCUGCCGGGGCGGGGAUGGUUGUCCCAAAAGACGCAGACUCCGUUGCUGCCGCCUUGUCCGAUCUUCUGGCCGAUGGAGAUGCGUUGAAGAAAAUGGGUAAUGCCGCCUUUGAUCUUGUCCGUAGAGAGUAUACUUGGGACCCUCUGGUUGACAAGUUGAUCUCCGUCUACGAACGAUGCAUCCGAGAGAAGAAGCUAUUGUGAAAGUAUUGGUUACAGGAAGCUCUGGUCUGAUUGGACAAUGGGUCUGCAAGACGCUUAGAGAACAGCCGUUUUCCACAGUCGGGCUGGACCGCAUCAAAGACGACGCCGCUUGGGCGCCUGAUGAAUUCCAUCAGUGCGACAUUUUGGAUUCUGAAUCGUGGCAAAAGGUCU